rnacentral:rRNA from 1 species
UACGUAGGGUCCGAGCGUUUGUCCGGAAUUAUUGGGCGUAAAGGGCUCGUAGGCGGUUCGUCACGUCGGGAGUGAAAACUCGGGGCUUAACCCCCGAGCCUGCUUCCGAUACGGGCAGACUAGAGGUAGGCAGGGGAGAGCGGAACUCCUGGUGUAGCGGUGGAAUGCGCAGAUAUCAGGAAGAACACCGGUGGCGAAGGCGGCUCUCUGGGCCUUACCUGACGCUGAGGAGCGAAAGCGUGGGUAGCGAACAGG